GGGAGCGCGCCACCGAUGGCGAGGUGGGCCGGCUGUAACCCCGGUGUGUUCGUGCUUAGGGAGUUCGAAUCUCUCCGCUCCCA
rnacentral:tRNA from 1 species